AUGGCAGACAGGCGUCGCAGACGACGUAGACUCCAGCGGUAUUGGAAUAGACCGUCCAAAAGGGUGAUCCGGGACCGUCUGAACCUCUUAGAGGCGUAUACUGACGACGAGCUUUUUGAGCGUUGUCGAUUUAGACAGGUAACGACUCCAGAACAAGCAGUAGGAUACGUCGUCGCCUGUGUCAUCCUGCAUAACCUUGGCAUUCAAACUGGUGAUGUGAUGGAUAGAGUAGACCAGCCAAUGGACGCAUUUGACGAGACCGCCCACCAAGUUGAGUGCAAUUCUCCAGAGGGAAGUCGCUUGCGAGAUUAUAUCGCACAGACCACAGGGGCCAAGCCCGUUUUAACAUUAAUUUCAAUGUAACCAUAAAUAAAGAAAGGGGUCGAACUCUGACCCAAAUAAUAAACUACCAGCUCGCUUCAAAAGCCUAAUAAAUCAAUUAAUUUUUUAAACACUCGCAAUAUGCAUGUAUUUUUCGGAAAAGUAAUGUCUGAGAUACACUCAUGCCGAAUUUCAAGUUGAUGGGU
rnacentral:sRNA from 1 species